rnacentral:rRNA from 1 species
UACGUAGGGGGCAAGCGUUGUCCGGAAUUAUUGGGCGUAAAGAGCGUGUAGGCGGUCCGGUAAGUCGGCUGUGAAAGUCCAGGGCUCAACCCUGGGAUGCCGGUCGAUACUGCCGGACUAGAGUUCGGAAGAGGCGAGUGGAAUUCCCCGGUGUAGCGGUGAAAUGCGCAGAUAUCGGGAGGAACACCUAUGGCGAAGGCAGCUCGCUGGGACGUUACUGACGCUGAGACGCGAAAGCGUGGGGAGCAAACAGG